GGGUCAGUAGGUUGGUCGUGCCACCGGUACGUACUGGUCCCACUGAUACCUCCUUCCUGAAGAACCGUAAUGCCAUUAAUUUGGUGGUGCGGGGAAACAGGACUGUUACUUUGAAAAAAUUAGAGUGUUUAAAGCAAGCUAACGCUUGAAUACAUUAGCAUGGAAUAAUGAAAUAGGACGAUCGAUCCUAUUUUGUUGGUUUCUAGGAUUGACGUA
rnacentral:rRNA from 1 species